GACGAACGCUGGCGGCGUGCCUAAUACAUGCAAGUAGAACGCACAGUUUAUACCGUAGCUUGCUACACCAUAGACUGUGAGUUGCGAACGGGUGAGUAACGCGUAGGUAACCUGCCUGGUAGCGGGGGAUAACUAUUGGAAACGAUAGCUAAUACCGCAUAAUAUUCAUUAUUGCAUGAUAAUUGAUUGAAAGAUGCAACUGCAUCACUACAAGAUGGACCUGCGUUGUAUUAGCUAGUAGGUGAGGUAACGGCUCACCUAGGCGACGAUACAUAGCCGACCUGAGAGGGUGAUCGGCCAACCUGGGACUGGGAACCGGCCCAGACUCCUACGGGAGGCAGCAGUAGGGGAUCUUCGGCAAAUGACGGAAGUCUGACCGAGCAACGCCGCGUGAGUGAAGAAGGUUUUCGGAUCGUAAAGCUCUGUUGUAAGAGAAGAACGGGUGUGAGAGUGGAAAGUUCACACUGUGACGGUAUCUUAUCAGAAAGCGACGGCUAACUACGUG
rnacentral:rRNA from 1 species